rnacentral:rRNA from 1 species
GAGGGAAAGAGAGCAUGAAAACGUGUGCCUAAAAAUAGUAAGAGCACGUUAAUGGGUGAGGGCGGGCCUUUAGUAGAAUGAAAAAGCGAGUUACGAUCCCGUGCGAGGAUAAGAUGAAGAGGAGGAGCAGAAGGGAAAGAGAGUCUGAAUAGGGCGUUUAGUACGUGGUGGUAGAGCAGAAACGAGGUGAUCAACAAAUGUCGAGGGAGAAGUUGAGGUAACACUGAAUGGAGGC